AUUGAACGCUGGCGGCAGGCUUAACACAUGCAAGUCGAGCGAGCGGCGGACGGGUGAGUAAUGUCUGGGAAACUGCCUGCUGGAGGGGGAUAACUACUGGAAACGGUAGCUAAUACCGCAUACCAUCAGAUGUGCCCAGAUGGGAUUAGCUAGUAGGUGGGGUAAUGGCUCACCUAGGCGACGAUCCCUAGCUGGUCUGAGAGGAUGACCAUCCACACUGGACCUUAGACACGGUCCAGACUCCUACCUUGCUCCUCAGUUCAAAAUAUUGCACAAUGGGCGCAAGCCUGAUCCAGCCAUGCCGCGUGUGUGAAGAAGGCCUUCGGGUUGUAAAGCACUUUCAGCGAGGAGGCGUUACUCGCAGAAGAAGCACCGGCUAACUCCGUGCCAGCCGCCGCGGUAAUAC
rnacentral:rRNA from 1 species